UAACUCUUAUACUCAAGUGUAACCUUGAUUUUUUUCCUCUGAAAUUUAGUGCACAAGACCAAGGAAUGGGCCCAGGAAUCCUUUGGAGGAAAUAUGGAGAGCAUUGGCAAUAGUUGUUAAGAGUUUCCAGAAACAUUAUUUAGACAAGGUGCAACCAGUUUGUCUUUCAAUAAAUAUGAAUUGCUUCAAGCAAGAAAGAUUCUGGCAACAUGUGCUCUCCACUCUGAAUCUCAAAAACCUGAGGACAUGUCACACCCAGGUAAGCAUUUCUAUCAUCAAGGAAUGGUAAG
rnacentral:lncRNA from 1 species